rnacentral:rRNA from 1 species
CCGCGGUAAUACGAAGGGGGCUAGCGUUGUUCGGAAUUACUGGGCGUAAAGCGCACGUAGGCGGAUAGUUAAGUCAGGGGUGAAAUCCCGGAGCCCAACUCCGGAACUGCCUUUGAUACUGGCUAUCUGGAGGAUGGAAGAGGCAAGUGGAAUUCCGAGUGUAGAGGUGAAAUUCGUAGAUAUUCGGAGGAACACCAGUGGCGAAGGCGACUUGCUGGUCCAUUUCUGACGCUGAGGUGCGAAAGCGUGGGGAGCAAACAGG